GAUGAACGCUGACAGAAUGCUUAACACAUGCAAGUCAACUGUGGCGGACGGGUGAGUAACGCGUAAAGAACUUGCCUCACGGAUAGGGACAACAUUUGGACACAAAUGCUAAUACCUGAUACUGUGAGAGAGCUUUGCGUCCCAUUAGCUAGUUGGAGAGGUAACGGUUCACCAAGGCGAUGAUGGGUAGCCGGCCUGAGCGGGUGAUCGGCCAGAAGGGGACUGGGACACGGCCCGUACUCCUACGGGAGGCAGCAGUGGGGAAUAUUGGACAAUGGACCAAAGUCUGAUCCAGCAAUUCUGUGUGCACGAUGAAGUUUUCGGAAUGUAAAGUGCUUUCAGUUGGGAAGCGGUACCAACAGAAGAAGUGACGGCUAAAUACGUGCCAGCAGCCGCGGUAAUUC
rnacentral:rRNA from 1 species